GUCCUGUAAAAUUAUUGUAACUACACUGUAGAAGCAUUUUUUUACAGCAACCGCAUAGCAUUGUGGGAUCGCUGCUGUUUGAAUUUUGAAAUUACGCGGCCAACGGACGGUACUUUUUGGAAGAAAGAACACGUCUCAGGAGAGGCACUAAGUGCAGACAAAUGGAUGAUGUCUUUGGAAGGGACAACUGUGAUGGGGCCCCUCAACAACCUUCUGAAUGGAGUGCAGCGACCUUCGCUGUCUACGUGUCUAACUAACAGUAUCCUAAAGAGGCCUCAAGCACUAAAGAGCUUUUUGUGGAAUCAAUUCCAAGAUGUCAGCAAAGCAGAGAAGAGACGGGGGAAUCAACGCACCUGUCUGCACCCUAUUAAGAAGACUCCUGGGCUUUGAGUUGAUGCCCACCCACACCCCACAGCUUCCCCAGUUCAAGACUGGUUGGGACCUUUUGUUAUUUAUUACCAUGUUCCCCCUGAUGAUAGACUUUCUGGACGUCUGGAAGUGAGCUAGAUUCUUCAGUGAAACUGUAAUUUUGUUUGUAUGAAAUAAAAAGAUAAAAUAAGUUUGUAAUAUGUGA